rnacentral:rRNA from 1 species
GGACGAAACGCUGGCGGCGUGCUUAACACAUGCAAGUCGAACGGUGAAGGGAUCAGCUUGCUGGUUUCUGGAUGAGUGGCGAACGGGGUGAGUAACACGUGAGUAACCUGCCCCCUUCUUCUGGAUAACCGCAUGAAAGUGUGGCUAAUACGGGAUAUUCUGGGUCUGUCGCAUGGCGGGCCUGGGAAAGAUAUUGUUUCGGUGGGGGAUGGGCUCGCGGCCUAUCAGCUUGUUGGUGGGGUGAUGGCCUACCAAGGCGGUGACGGGUAGCCGGCCUGAGAGGGUGGACGGUCACACUGGGACUGAGACACGGCCCAGACUCCUACGGGAGGCAGCAGUGGGGAAUAUUGCACAAUGGGCGCAAGCCUGAUGCAGCGACGCCGCGUGAGGGAUGGAGGCCUUCGGGUUGUAAACCUCUUUCGCCAGUGAAGCAGGCCUGCUCCUUGUGGGUGGGUUGACGGUAGCUGGAUAAGAAGCGCCGGCUAACUACGUGCCAGCAGCCGCGGUAAUACGUAGGGCGCGAGCGUUGUCCGGAAUUAUUGGGCGUAAAGAGCUCGUAGGCGGCUGGUCGCGUCUGUCGUGAAAUCCUCUGGCUUAACUGGGGGCUUGCGGUGGGUACGGGCCGGCUUGAGUGCGGUAGGGGAGACUGGAACUCCUGGUGUAGCGGUGGAAUGCGCAGAUAUCAGGAAGAACACCGGUGGCGAAGGCGGGUCUCUGGGCCGUUACUGACGCUGAGGAGCGAAAGCGUGGGGAGCGAACAGG